ACGAACGCUGGCGGCGUGCCUAAUACAUGCAAGUCGAACGCUUCUUUUUCCACCGGAGCUUGCUCCACCGGAAAAAGAGGAGUGGCGAACGGGUGAGUAACACGUGGGUAACCUGCCCAUCAGAAGGGGAUAACACUUGGAAACAGGUGCUAAUACCGUAUAACAAUCGAAACCGCAUGGUUUUGAUUUGAAAGGCGCUUUCGGGUGUCGCUGAUGGAUGGACCCGCGGUGCAUUAGCUAGUUGGUGAGGUAACGGCUCACCAAGGCCACGAUGCAUAGCCGACCUGAGAGGGUGAUCGGCCACAUUGGGACUGAGACACGGCCCAAACUCCUACGGGAGGCAGCAGUAGGGAAUCUUCGGCAAUGGACGAAAGUCUGACCGAGCAACGCCGCGUGAGUGAAGAAGGUUUUCGGAUCGUAAAACUCUGUUGUUAGAGAAGAACAAGGAUGAGAGUAACUGUUCAUCCCUUGACGGUAUCUAACCAGAAAGCCACGGCUAACUACGUGCCAGCAGCCGCGGUAAUACGUAGGUGGCAAGCGUUGUCCGGAUUUAUUGGGCGUAAAGCGAGCGCAGGCGGUUUCUUAAGUCUGAUGUGAAAGCCCCCGGCUCAACCGGGGAGGGUCAUUGGAAACUGGGAGACUUGAGUGCAGAAGAGGAGAGUGGAAUUCCAUGUGUAGCGGUGAAAUGCGUAGAUAUAUGGAGGAACACCAGUGGCGAAGGCGGCUCUCUGGUCUGUAACUGACGCUGAGGCUCGAAAGCGUGGGGAGCAAACAGGAUUAGAUACCCUGGUAGUCCACGCCGUAAACGAUGAGUGCUAAGUGUUGGAGGGUUUCCGCCCUCAGGCGCAGCUAACGCAUAAGCACUCCGC
rnacentral:rRNA from 1 species